rnacentral:rRNA from 1 species
GACGAACGCUGGCGGCGUGCCUAAUACAUGCAAGUUGAGCGAUGAAGCUUGGUGCUUGCACCAAUUUGAAGAGCAGCGAACGGGUGAGUAACGCGUGGGGAAUCUGCCUUUGAGCGGGGGACAACAUUUGGAAACGAAUGCUAAUACCGCAUAACAACUUUAAACAUAAGUUUUAAGUUUGAAAGAUGCAAUUGCAUCACUCAAAGAUGAUCCCGCGUUGUAUUAGCUAGUUGGUGAGGUAAAGGCUCACCAAGGCGAUGAUACAUAGCCGACCUGAGAGGGUGAUCGGCCACAUUGGGACUGAGACACGGCCCAAACUCCUACGGGAGGCAGCAGUAGGGAAUCUUCGGCAAUGGACGAAAGUCUGACCGAGCAACGCCGCGUGAGUGAAGAAGGGUUUCGGAUCGUAAAACUCCGUUGGUAGAGAAGAACGUUGGUGAGAGUGGAAAGCUCAUCAAGUGACGGUAACUACACAGAAAGGGACGGCUAACUACGUG